CUGCUCUCACUCCGGCCACCUGCUUGCUGCCUCCAAGCUCCGGCCGCAUCGCCCCUGCAUCACCACUCCCUCCACGCUGGCGCUGCAGGCUGCACAUGUCAUCUUAGAGCAAAAAAAUUAAUCUCUAGCAGAGCUUCCAAAUAUACUGUUAUUUUAGUAGGCCUUUCAAAUUUCUCUUCCAUUCCAAUUUGGUGGCUCCCUAUUUGGACUGCCAACUGUGGCCCCACUAAUUUUUUUUCCAACUUCCAGCAGAGCGGUGCCCGAUCCCAGCGCCAGGGCCUAGCCGUCGCCGGCGGCCUCCCUAGCCGCCGCCGCCAGCCCGCCCGCCUCCGGUUCGCCUCCUCCCCGGAUCCGCCGCCGGAGCCGCCGGCGCCUGCUUCUUGCCGGCCGCGGGCGCGGGGAGGCGGCCGCGGUGCGCGUCCUCCAGGCCGACGCCGCAGCUCCGCGACGUCAUUUGGCGGCGGGUAGUCGUCAGGAUCCCCAAGUGGAAGGCAGAGAUCCAAGUAGGCGCCCUGGAGGAGGAAGGGAAUCGUCAACCUGAUGUGCUUCGCUGUAGAUGCAGGAUUGUCUAGUUUAAUUUUUAGCUCAUCAAGACUCUGGUCAUGUUCUAAGGCUGGGUUUAAUUUUUAUGUAAUGUGAGGAUAAUCAUAUGUUGCCAGUACCAUGCACCAAUUACCCAAGCUAAUGUAAUUUUGUGUGAAUCGUGUUCAGUUCUGUGAAUCAUGUUCAGUUCUGUGAA